rnacentral:rRNA from 2 species
UAGGGAAUCUUCGGCAAUGGACGAAAGUCUGACCGAGCAACGCCGCGUGAGUGAAGAAGGUUUUCGGAUCGUAAAACUCUGUUGUUAGAGAAGAACAAGGACGUUAGUAACUGAACGUCCCCUGACGGUAUCUAACCAGAAAGCCACGGCUAACUACGUGCCAGCAGCCGCGGUAAUACGUAGGUGGCAAGCGUUGUCCGGAUUUAUUGGGCGUAAAGCGAGCGCAGGCGGUUUCUUAAGUCUGAUGUGAAAGCCCCCGGCUCAACCGGGGAGGGUCAUUGGAAACUGGGAGACUUGAGUGCAGAAGAGGAGAGAGGAAUUCCAUGUGUAGCGGUGAAAUGCGUAGAUAUAUGGAGGAACACCAGUGGCGAAGGCGGCUCUCUGGUCUGUAACUGACGCUGAGGCUCGAAAGCGUGGGGAGCAAACAGG